GGCCCGUUGGUCUAGGGGUAUGAUUCUCGCUUUGGGUGCGAGAGGUCCCAGGUUCAAAUCCCGGACGGGCCC
rnacentral:tRNA from 1 species